AAGGGUCACAACCAGCAGUUUAGAAAUCACUGUUCUGUGGGUAAGAGGUGAGACAAAUGGGCAUUCGUCUCAAUCUGCUCUUCUCCACUGUUCCACAUUCCUGGGAUCUAGAAUUAAUCCACUGGACAAGAAUUUUCCCUCAGUUUAAUAAAAGAUGGAGUGAUUAACAUAUGUUCCAUAUUAUAAAAAACAGAUUUUUAAGAACAGAUGUGCAAAUCCUAACUCCAUUACUUUAUUUAAAAAAAACAUUUGGUUUUCCUUGAAGAUUCCAUGGAUCAUAGUCAUCUAGUUUGGAUUGACAUCACUGCAAUAAUAAUAAAAACAUCAUUUUGCUGCCUAACAAUCAUGUUACUUAUUUCCAGACAUAGAUGCAAAUGGUUAUCUUGUUAAAGAAGCAAAAACCAGUAUUUAGCCCCACUUACCCAAAGCCCCUGAGCCUUCUCACACAACACUUGCUCCUCUUGUAAUGAAAUACAUUAAUUUAACCUUCAAAUUUGUCUCUGAUGCUUCCAUUAACACUGAUCCACAUCAGAACCUUCAACUCAGAAACACACACACUAACAUCAUUCUUCCUUUUCCUCUCACGCUAAUUCAAUUUCUGAAGUCAUUUUCCAUUUUAAAGACAGUUUGAGAGAUCAAGGAAAACAUUAGGGAUUUUAUCACUUCUCUUUAGAUAAAGCAUUACCAAUUAGAUUUACAUACAGGUUUUUACUAGAUUAAUCAUAAACACAUGGUUUAUUCCUUUAAAUUCCAGCUAAUUGCCUUCGGGCUCAUGUUGUCUUGCACCACUUACUCAGCACAUCUCUCCAUUUGUUCACCAUUCCAGAAAGGUUAGAGGAUGUGAGGCACAUUAACUCAUUAGCUGGUAUGAAAAUAAAGCAGUUGUCGGCAUUCAAAACUCACUUUAUUCCAGCUAUUUCCAUGCUGAGCUCUGAACACUGCACUUCUAAAAGUUAUGGUUCCACUAACCUUCUGUGUUUGUGAGUCUCUUAGGAUAAUGUUCCCUUUCUGAUUGGUUAGGGAUCUAGUUGUUCAUCUAUUUUAUCACAUACACUUGUAUGAGGCAGUCACAGACUCAGAGGUUUCAAAAGUGCAACAGGAAUAGGAUGGCUACUCUAAAUCCCCUAGAUCCUACUGCAUACCCCACCCCACGCCAUACUGCCCAGAUCUAACAGCUCCCAUCUGCACUUCAAACAAGUGCAGGGCCAGAAUGGAGACUUUCCCCCACUAUGUUCCAACUGAACCUGAGUUUACAACUGCUCCCCUCAUCUUCAGUUUGGAUAUGAACCAGUAGCAAACCCCUUGACAAGAAGGACCUAUCUUAGAACAAUCACUCAAUGUACUGAGGCUUCAAACCAUAACCAUUUAGGGAAACUUCAUUCUAUCUCACUUCAACUUCUCAGUUCUUUUCACAAUGGCAAUUCUCUAAGACUCCAUUCAUGGAGGGAAACAAAACCCACUUUAAGUUGACAUAUAUUUAUCUCAGCCACAAGGAACCAAAGUUCUCCAAAGAUUGCAUUUGUUUUACUGAACCAUUCUGGGAAAGUGCUGUGGAAGAGAAAGGUGCUGCCAAGACCAACAGAUAAUAAAGCAAGAUAUCAGUCAGUAGCUACCCCAUCUCCAGAACAGACAGAAACUCAAGCUAUCAUGCAAAAUUAAUUUCCAUUUUUAGGCUAAAUAAAUUCCAUUUGAAAAGGACUGAGGAAAGAUACAAGUCAGCAAACAGAUAACACUUCAUUUAUUUUUAUGCUUUCCUUGAAUAUCUAAUUGGAAGAACUAAUUGUAACAGUCUACUUUUACUGUUUUUCUUGAAAAUACUAAGAGUGCUUCAAUUGCAAUAUUCACUGCUGAAAAUUUUAAGGAUGAAAAUUCCACAGGUGCCUCUGAUCCUUUCCACUUUACGGUUACUUUACAAGGGCUCUCAUUUCAGAGGGCUGCUGUCUUUCUCCACCUAAACUAACAUUGAGGAACAGAGGAUGGGUUGAGUUCACCUCUCACAGGCAAUCAAUGAAACGAUCAUCAAUCAGAGGCUUAAGACCCUAAGAUGAUUCCUACAGGUUAAUAGAGAAAGGGGAAACAGUGAAGAGUCUCUUACUCUGUACCUACAAAAGCAUAUACUUGUUAUUCAGUAAGAUCAUCUGAGCCAGUAGAAGCUGGCAACAUCACCAAUAAAUCACCCAGUGCUGUGACCUCAGUCUGAUGAGCUAGUCAUUAAACAGAGACUGUGGANNNNNNNNNNNNNNNNNNNNNNNNNNNNNNNNNNNNNNNNNNNNNNNNNNNNNNNNNNNNNNNNNNNNNNNNNNNNNNNNNNNNNNNNNNNNNNNNNNNGAGCUAGUCAUUAAACAGAGACUGUGGAUGCACAGAUUUAGGCAAAAUAUAGUCCACAAGAAGAUUUCUUUUAUGAGUAUGAUAUCCAUAACCACUUGGGAAGGGAAGAUUGUCCUAAGAGAUAUUCAAAUCCCCAGUGUUGAGCAAGAGUGAAAAUCCCAUUGCUGUGAGGGUCAAUCCAGGGGUCUCUGAGGUUUCUAGGGAUGGUCCUCCUUAGGGCAGAUGGUACCUCAUGCUGUUGUACUUGGCAAGGGUUGAUGGUUGUGUCAGCGUCUCUGUUCCAGGGUUAUUUGGGGAGGGAAGCACUGCUGUGAUAUGCUGACUGCCUAAUGAGAGGUAGAGAUGCCAGGCAAAGAAGCCAUUGUGUUGAGCAAUGAAGAGUCACCACAAACACAAAUGAUGUACUGGCCUGACACCCAUCAAACAGUUCCAGGACCAGUGACUUAUCUUGAAGGUCAAGCUCGUGUAUUGGUAUGGAUUUUUCCCCAAAGUCUAUAACUGUAUAACAUCCUCAUCACUUCUCAAAAAAACUACAAAAAUAAACUAACGCUAUGCCCUGAACAACAGAGAGAAAAAAUACACACACAUAUGGCACUGAAAAGUUACCAAGUGACUGUAUAGGAGUAUCAAAAAUAGAAUUUUGUACAAAGGAAACCUGCCAGAUCUUAAACUCAAGCCAAACAAAUGUCUUAAGUUUGGGGAACUAUUCAGACUCAGGCAAACUGGAAGAGCUCUUCUGUUUGUGAGCCAGUCCUGCACGCAUUUCAACUCCCUUCAGUCCCAUUGACAAUACCUACCCGGAUUGAAACAGCUGCACUGUCAUAGCUUUCUCUGAAGGAUACGUGCAGCCUUUUCUACCAAUCACAGUUUCACAUAGGUCUAGGUCAGCCUGCAUUUCCUUGAGCCAAUGGAUUUUAUGUGGGUACAUCCUUCAAAACAAAGCCAGCAACACAGAAGGAAGUUUGCUGAGCUGCUUGUAUUAAUAGCUCUCAACCCCUGAGGCCAGAGAAAUCUGCUUAUAUCCUCUGCACACUGGAACUGGAGACGUGGCAGCACCUGCUCCAUGAGUCUCUUUCCCAGCCAAGCUGCUCCCUUGGUUAACUGAGAACACUCGCUUUUAUCUGGCAGGAGAGCUUUCCGUCACCAGGUGUAUGUUUGAGGUUUUUAGAAAAGAGGUUAGGCAUUGCUUACAAAUACUGUUCAUCCACAGAACUUCAUUUCUCCUAGAAAAUGGUGCUUUUGGAUCACACAUGAGGUUUUGAAAAAUACAGCUGCCCUGGCUUCCUGUAAUCUGGAAAGCUUUACAAGAUGAAAGCAUGGUUUCAUUGGAUAAUAAUCCAUUUGCAAUAAGAGUAAGGUCCAUACUACUAUUAAAUGUGUUUAUCCACUGAUUCAUCUGAAUAUUCCUUGAUUUGCUUUAAAUACUAUAAUCAACUGUUGUUACUUAAUUCAAUAUAGAUUUAAGAAAGCAAUUGGAGUCUCACAGGUGGUCUGAACUCACAACAUUGCUCAUAUUUGCUGCACUCCCAGAGCAGAAAGNNNNNNNNNNNNNNNUUUUUUUUUUUUUCUCUUUACUUUGGAGCAUGGAGACACAAAGCUUUUAUGCAGGAACUCAUUCCCCAAAUUUGAGACUGAUGCUUGCUAGCUUAUGUUUCCAUUUAAACAAAUCUCUAACUAAGCACACGUGAAAACGAUAUGACCUUUCCUUCGAUACAAAUCUAGCAUCAAACAUUGGCAGGCAAAAUUUAAAUCACUUCCUGAAUUGCUAAACAGUUACACAAAAAGAGUCACCAAAACAACACGUUCAUACUUCUCCCUUCCAUUUAUAUAGCAUUCCUCUUUCCAAAUUAAAAACCAUAGUUUCCCAGCAAUUACUGUUUAUUGUGGUUAAGCUACUGAUGCCUAAUAACGUAAUUACAUGUGAUAAAAAAGGAGUGAGGAGGGAGAGGAGACAUGUGCCGCUGAAAUGAUUAAAACUCAACCUGUUAUUAUUUCCAUAUUGCAUCACUGUAACAUGAAUGCUUUUGUGAGAAGCUGUGCUCGGACUUCUGAGCAUUAGAAAGUUUCUGCCUUCAACCAAGUCAACCAAAAUGAGCACACAAAGUUUGUUUUGAAAAUACAGGUGAUUUCAGCCCACAGUGGAGACCCACACUAGUGAAGGUCUCAUUACCGAAAUCAAUUAUUCUUAUUUCAUUCAUUGGUUCCACAAAAAAAGACUGAGAGCCGUGUAUGCCAGGGGACAUGCUAAACAUUCAGACAACACUGAAUCUAUUUUAGACACGGCUCUAAAUGGCCAAACUCGUGUCUUCUGUAAAAUGCAUUUUUGGGAGCUGUUCUGGCUCAUAUGUCCUCUUUUAUUUUAAAAUUAACGUCUAAGAGAAGAAAUCACAACCCCUGUUUCCUGUGCCAUCUCCAGCUUCCCACUAACCCAAGAGUUUAGGAGCAGAAAGAGACAAAGAAACAAACCUGAUUCUAAUCACUCUCUCUUUCCUUAACAGAGGUCCACUCCCCAAAAUAUAAAAUUAAUAUAUUUUUAGCCUAUACUAUUAUUACUUUAUACCAGCAAAAGAGUUUAUAUGAGCAAAGUAGACAUUUAAAAUUAAUUUUUUAAUAAAAGAUCUUUCAUUCUGUAGACAGUUAAAAUAAAACUCAAGGAGAAGAAAAACAGAGAUUAUUACAUACCACUUAGCAACCUAAGCUCAUAAACGAAAUAGCACUAUUCAGAAAUCUGAACUCUUCACCAUUUAGAAGAGCAUUUUUAAAAUAUCUGUGAAAGAUUCUCUUUCUAAUUCAUUUUCCAAAUCCCAUGCAUAUUUUAGAUGUGGGGGGGGGGACAAAAAUUCCAAAUAUUUAAUAGAAAUUCCACUCCCACCUUCAUUUUCCUUCAUAUUAAAACUAAAGUACAAUGAUGCCUUUACCAGAGAGAAAAAAAAAAUCACAGAUUUGUGAAACAUUCUAAGUACUGAAGUCUUUCUCUUUAGAAACUCAAAAACAGAGCAAGAGAGUAUCAAGCCAACAAAUCUGCAACAAAUAGUAUUUUUUAAUACAUAUAAAUUAGGUCU
rnacentral:lncRNA from 1 species